rnacentral:SRP_RNA from 1 species
GCCAGGCGCGGUGGCACGUGCCUGUAGUCCCAGCUACUCCGGGGGGGCUGAGGUGAGAGGAUCGCUUGAGUCCAGGAGUUCUGGGCUAUAUUGAGCUAUGCUGAUCGGGUGUCUGCACUAAGUUUGGCAUCAGUAUGGUGACCUCCCGGGAGCUGGGAACCACCAGGUUGCCUAAGGAGGGGUGAACUGGCCCAGGCUGGAAACGGAGCGGGAUCAUGCCUGUGAAUGGCCACUGCACGCCAGCCUGAGCAACAUACCGAGACCCCAUCUCU